UACCAGCUCUCCGAGUGGUAGGGAUGAUUAUUGGGCUUAAAGCGUCCGUAGCCGGCUUAGCCAGUUUACUGUUAAACUCUGCGACUUAAUCGUUGAAUCGCGGGAAAUACUACUAGGCUAGGAGGCGGGAGAGGUCAACGGUACUUCUGGGGUAGGGGUGAAAUCCUAUAAUCCCGGGAGGACCACCAGUGGCGAAGGCUGUUGACUAGAUCGCGCUCGACGGUGAGGGACGAAAGCUGGGGGAGCGAACCGGAUUAGAUACCCGGGUAGUCCCAGCUGUAAACGAUGCGGGCUAGGUGUUGGGAUGGCUACGUGCCAUUUCAGUGCCGCAGGGAAGCCAUUAAGCCCGCCGCCUGGGGAGUACGGCCGCAAGGCUGAAACUUAAAGGAAUUGGCGGGGGAGCACCACAAGGCGUGAAGCUUGCGGUUC
rnacentral:rRNA from 1 species